GAGGAGGGGGUUCUCCCCCGCUCGGAGCGCGCGGCUGGGGAAGAAGCUGGCGGGAAGCCGGGCCGCGCGCCGAGGAAUCGAUGAUUCGGCCUGUGGGCCGGGUCACUGCGGCGGGGCCCGGGGAGCGCCGAUAGCAUGGAUAGGCUCAGAGGGGCGCAGGGUUUUGGCGGCUUCCCGAGUUCCCCUCGCCGACCGCCAUGUCACAUCUUACGGAAGAGGCGGGGGCUGCCGCGGAGAGGAUAUUUUUUGUUUUGUUUUGUUUUCACAAGAAUCACCUGGAUGCUUCUAAAGAGGAUGUCUACCAGACCCCAUGCCGCACUAAUUAGCUCAGAAGUGGGAACCCUUCAUAAGAUGUAAGCUACUAUACCAGCACUAUGCCUGCCUACCUGCUGCCACAUUCCUUGUCAUGAUAACCAUGGACUAAGCCUCUGAAACUCAUCCAGGCACUGAAGCUCUGGAAGCCCAGCGAGGACAACUCAGACUCAGGAGACAGAGGACUCUGUAGAAGAGGUGUUCCAGGGCCUGGGUGCCACCAGCCAGCUCCGCUAGAAGAAUGCUGUGAGAACAGGCUGGCACUGAGCUGGAGUGGCCAUCGUCACAAGGGUACCACCUGAAGGGUGGGCAGAGGGCCUCGGGGAGGAGCCACAUACUCUUCCUCCCUGAGCAGCCGCAGCAGGAUGUUUUUCUUAUUCUUGGGCCAGCUGUAAACAUGAGUGUUCUGAAGCCAGGUCGGCACAUGCUCCUGUGGAAGAGAGGGCAGGAACAAGGGUCACGGAAGGGAGCGAAGCCUGGAUUCCAGAUCCAGGGCUCAGUUCUGAACAGCUCUGGAUGCCUCCGUAGGUGUUCCCACCAGGCUGUCUUGGGAGCUGCUGGUUUGCUUUUGGAGAGUAUAGCACACGAAGCACUUUUGGCUUCUGGUGCAAGCUGUGUAUCUCAUUAUGGAAGCCAUAUGUGUGCAGCGUUUUCCGUCAGUCUCCCAGGCUACCUGCCCUUUGCAUGCCAUGUGCUUUUCACCACCUCACAUGAAAGGGGUAGGACUGAGGUCACGCUGAAUGAUGUGAAUUCCCCUGGGGCUUUGGGGGAAGGAUGCCAGGGCUGUGGGCUUAAUCUAAUUCAUGAUUCUUUCACUUCAAACUGAAGGAAUAAAACAGAGCUCAGAGCUGUGAGCCUGGGGUUCCACCAGCCAGUCACCCUCAGGACAGCCCUCAGGACUGUCCGUGUGGAGCACAUAUUCUGGUGAGGAGAGACCAUGAGAAGCUCAGCAGCAACCAGAAUCAAAAUCUGGAAUUCUGCUGUCAGAGGAGGAGUGUGCAGCAUCUAGGAGGAUGCUUCGGAAGAACCACACAGUUAUAGAAGUUGCUAGGCAUGUAUGUUCAAAAGCAACAGUGUCAGAGUGUCCAGAACAGCAAUUAAGUAAGUCAGUGGGAAAUGGGGAAAUGUCACAGGUUUUAAAACUAGAGAAAUAGAGAUUGGAGUUCCCAGAUGGCAGAGAAGAAGGUGGAUAGUAUAGAGUUCAGAGGAGGGUGAGACCAAUAAAGAGAUUUGCCAGUUAAUAACUGCAUUUAGUCCCCGGACAAGCCAGGGCCAGCAAGGAUGAGGGGUCCUUUCAUAUGUAUUGUGCAUUGUUCGACCUUAUGCGUCCAGUCCACAAAUACUGGUGUCUUAGUUUGGGUUUCCAUUGCUAUGACAUGACACCAUGACCAAAGCAAUUCUUUUUUUUGUUUGUUUGUUUGUUUGUUUGUUUGUUUUGUUUGUUUUGUUUUGUUUUGAGAGAGGGUUUCUCUGUAUAGCCCUGGCUGUCCUGGAACUCACUUUGUAGACCAGGCUGGCCUCGAACUCAGAAAUCCACCUGCCUCUGCCUCCCAAGUGCUGGGAUUAAAGGUGUGCGCCACCACUGCCCAGCUCCAAAGCAGCUCUUAUUUUAUAUAUAUAUACAUAUUUUUUUUAUUACGUAUUUUCCUCAAUUACAUUUCCAAUGCUAUCCCAAAAGUCCCCCAUACCCUCCCCCCCACUUCCCUACCCACCCAUUCCCACUUUUUGGCCCUGGCAUUCCCCUGUACUGGGGCAUAUAAAGUUUGCGUGUCCAGUGGGCCUCUCUUUCCAGUGAUGGCUUACUAGGCCAUCUUUUGAUACAUAUGCAGCUAGAGUCAAGAGCUCUGGGGUACUGGUUAGUUCAUAAUGUUGUUGCACCUACAGGGUUGCAGAUCUCUUUAGCUCCUUGGUUGCUUUCUCUAGCUCCUCCAUUGGGGGCCCUGUGAUCCAUCCAAUAGCUGACUGUGAGCAUCCACUUCUGUGUUUGCUAGGCCCCAGCAUAGUCUCACAAGAGACAGCUAUAUCAGGGUCCUUUCAGCAAACGCUUGCUAGUGUAUGCAAUGGUGUCAUCGUUUGGAGGCUAGUUAUGGGAUGGAUCCCUGGAUAUGGCAAUCUCUAGAUGGUCCAUCCUUUUAUCUCAGCUCCAAACUUUGUCUCUGUAACUCCUUCCAUGGGUGAUUGUUUCCAAUUCUAAGAAGGGGCAAAGUGUCCACACUUUGGUCUUCGUUCUUCUUCAGUUUCAUGUGUUUUACAAAUUGUCUCUUAUAUCUAGGGUAUACUAAGUUUCUGGGCUAAUAUCCACUUAUCAGUGAGUACGUAUUAUUUGAGUUCUUUUGUGAUUGUGUUACCUCACUCAGGAUGAUGCCCUCCAGGUCCAACCAUUUGCCUAGGAAUUUCAUAAAUUCAUUCUUUUUAAUAGCUGAGUAGUACUCCAUUGUGUAAAUGUACCACAUUUUUUUGUAUCCAUUCCUCUGUUGAGGGGCAUCUGGGUUCUUUCCAGCUUCUGGCUAUUAUAAAUAAGGCUGCUAUGAA
rnacentral:lncRNA from 1 species